GGCACGCAGUUGCGGCCACUCCAUAUUCGAUAAGCCCCUAAAACCAUUAUUUAUUAAAUUAUUCAUUAUUAUUUGGCUUUAUAUCUUGGGCAAGCGCGAGGAAAAACCUUUGCCUUAUAUUGUGAAUGGAUAUGCACUGACAUAGACAUAUAACGGGAGAUGUUAAGGGAUACAAAUCCAUGUUUAUUACAGCAGGUGCAUGCCUUGUAAAAUGCUCCAAGUCUUCGUUCAAGAGCAAUGGAGCGUAUUUAAAUCAUAUCAGUUGGGAUGUUGACUUGAGAAAAAUACCAUUAGGCAUAUGUAUUUGUUUUGACUAAUAUUUUAACCUUUUAUGAAGGAGAAUUAAUAAACAGCGAAUUCUUAAGUUUUUGAUGAAUGCAGUUGAAUUAAUGAAUGCGACAUGUAAAAUGAAUACCAUUGGGCUACUGAAUGUAUUUCCGAUAGUUUUAUAUUGUGCAACACUGAUAAUUAAGUAGCCUUUAACUUUAUCAUUUGGGUCAAACUCAUAUGUUAAUGCAUUUGACAACACUCGGAACACAAUUAUCUCCCCGUUUUUUGGGCCAUUCAAAUAGGCGUAUUCAAUAUUCACACGAGAUAGGUUUGCAUGAAACACCAAACAACAGUAUCAAUUGUAUCAACAAUAUCAAUUGAAGCAGCACAGCCUACCGGUGGAUUGGAUCGAUCGCGUAGGGAUGCCUUGAGAGACUUUGCAGAAUUUGGUGUAAAGCUCAAAGGACCACCUUGCAGACAGAGAUAAGAAGGCCUGCAGGUUCAUCCGUCAAAGCGGGAGCUCCCUCUGCCACGACCAUAGAUAUGGUCAUUGCUCACGACCAACAUCCUGUCAGUGAAGACCAACGACGAACAUUGAGAUCCAGAGGAAGAUUGUCAUUAACUCUCGAAGUUCCAGAAUGGAGUGAAAAUGGCAGCCAUAUUGGUCAGGGAGAAAUCCAACCCAGUCUAAUUGGAAUGAAUGGCAGAAGAGGCAUAAUCCUGAUUUUACCUAUGCAGGAAAAUAAAACAAAGACGU